UACGGGGGGGGGGCAAGCGUUGUUCGGAAUUACUGGGCGUAAAGCGUGCGUAGGCGGUUGGCAAAGUCAGCUGUGAAAGCCCCGGGCUUAACCUGGGAAUGGCGGUUGAAACUAGUCGACUAGAAUCUGGCAGAGGGGGGUGAGAAUUACCGACGUGUGAGCAGUGAAAUGACGUAGAGAUGUGGAGGAACGACCGGAAUGGCGCAAGGCUGAGCCCCCUGG
rnacentral:rRNA from 1 species